AAAAUAUUGUGUUAAAAAAUAGCAUCAUGUGGGGAUCAAACCUGGGACCUCAAAUCCCUACACAUGUGCGCUUACCGCCAGACCACAGACCUAUGUUAUGCAUAAGUGUGUUCAAUUUAUUAAAUAUACAUAGAUUAGACAGUAUUUUACUUUCGUACAAGGGUGUUCACCUGACCAACAUAAAUUAAGUUAAAACUAGCUCAUUGCUGAUAUUAAAAUAAAAACUUUUAGAACUUCAAAGCUUAUGAACUAUGAUAU
rnacentral:misc_RNA from 1 species